UCGGGAUAGCUCAGCUGGUAGAGCAGAGGACUA
rnacentral:tRNA from 1 species